UCCCUGGUGGUCCAGUGGUUAGGAUUCUGCAUUCUCACUGUAGAGGGCCCAGGUUCAAUCCCUGGUUGGGGAA